rnacentral:rRNA from 1 species
AUGGUCAAAGAUUGGCUUGGUCUCCAGGAUGUGCAUCCUUCUGAUUGGAGUGACGCGACUUCCGUCAAAGAGUGGUGGAGCCACAAUGCUAACAGGAAGACCCAGUCGCGAAGGCCACUUGCUUCCUUGAUGCUUCUCGUCUCUUGGGAAUUGUGGAAAGAGAGGAAUGCGCGGAUCUUCCGUAACGAGGCCGUUCCAGUGGGUGUCAUCGUCGCUAGGAUUAAAGAGGAAACCUCGCUUUGGAGCAUUGCGGGGGCGAAGCACUUGAGUAAUGUAAUGCCGCGAGAGUGA